AACAGAAAACUCUUUGUCAGUCUGCCUCCGAAAUUACCUUCCCACUGAUGAUUUCUGUAAACCAUGUCUCUGCUAUCUCUGUGGCUGAGGCUUGUUGAAGGUUACAGUUCUAAAACUUACAAAUCUCUCCUUUGUACAUAUUUAAUGAAAUGUGCACAGUGUCUCUGGGAGCCUUCUGUCUGGUUUUUCUGUCUCUUCUUAACUGAUCCUUGUAGUUACUCAUCUCACCAAAAAUUUCCAAGAAUUUGCAAUGUCCAGUUAGGUAGAAGUUGGGCCUACUGGCUUGACACCAAGUAUACAGAAUGUCCCUAAAUUGGCCCAGUUCUCAUCUUUAUUUCUUGUACAUCCUUUCAAGCCCUUGGCUGAUUUAGUUGUAUUCUCUCCUUGUAUCUUACUCAUUCCCACUUCUAUUUCUUCACUCUAAGACUUCUAAUGCUGUGGUUCUCAAAUCUGAGUGUGCAUCAUACUUACUGGAGGGCUUUCUAGAACACACAUACUCAUCCCCAGGCCCCAAGAGUUUGAUCAUGCUAAUGCUUCUGACUUGGGAACCCUACCUUGCGAACCACUCUUCUAAGCAAGAUUCAUAGGUGCUAUGGGAAUACCGUGGUCCAUAUAUUUUGGUUAAAAAUCCACAUAAGUCAUCCAAGAAGUUGCUGUAGAAUGUCUCCCAAAGGCCUGUGUGAUAAAGGAAUGGCCUCCAGCUUGGCAGCAUUGAGAAGCUGUGGAACCUUUAAACAAUGACGUCUGAUGGAAUAAGUUACAUCAUAGGGCGCAGGGCCUUGAAAGGGAUGUUGGAGCCACAGCUUCUUCUCCUUCUGGCUUCCCAAUGCUAUGAGGUGAGCACUUUGCUCUACCACAUGCUCCCCAGCAUCAUAUCCUGCCUCACCACAGUCCCAGAACAAUCGUACCAACUGACCAUGGACUGAAACCUCCAACCCCCUCUCUCUCUUUUACUUUUUUCAAGUAGACGUAUUUCACUUAUUUGCUAGAGUAGUAGGACUCUGACUAAACAUAAGCUAUUGGUAAUUCAGAUAUGUUCAUUGGGUUUUAUGUACAACAAUGCUAAAAUUGUGUUGUGAAUGUACGAGUGUACGUACAUGUCGAUUUCUGCUCUGUGUCAGCAGAUGGGCUCUUUGCCCAUAAAGGCACUGUUGAAUUGAAGGUUAUACUUCUGUGUCUCUGGAUGUGUUGGGUGAGGACAUUUGCUGUAUUUAGCCAGGAGCCAUUUGAUGGCUUCCCUCUGUCAUUAGAGACCAAUGGGCCCAACAGUGAGUUUAACUACCAAUUACCCAGCUACAGACCUGUAUUCUGACACAAUUUUGCCAGGCUAUGCCAGUUUCCUGGUUGUUCCUUCUGUGCCCAGGCAUAGGCAUACAUUUGUAGAUUGGUGGCUUGAUAGUUGCACACUUUGAAAUACACAAGUGUUUCCAACUGUAUUAUGGAAAGAUUUUACACUUUAGUCUUAUCAUUAAAUGGUAGUGAUCAUUUCCCUGUCUCAAGCAAAAUGGAUGUAUCAGACACCUGCGUCAUUAGUGCUGGCCUAGGCAAGGGGACAGUGAGGAAGGUGUUGUGGCCACAGGCACAUGGGCUACCUGACUGGAUGAAAGGUAUUGGAGGCUUUCUUUCCAUUUUA